CCUGAUGCAGCAACGCCGCGUGAGGGAUGACGGCCUUCGGGUUGUAAACCUCUUUUAGUAGGGAAGAAGGGAGCUUGCUCUUGACGGUACCUGCAGAAAAAGCACCGGCUAACUACGUGCCAGCAGCCGCGGUAAUACGUAGGGUGCAAGCGUUGUCCGGAAUUAUUGGGCGUAAAGAGCUCGUAGGCGGUUUGUCGCGUCUGCUGUGAAAACCCGAGGCUCAACCUCGGGCCUGCAGUGGGUACGGGCAGACUAGAGUGCGGUAGGGGAGAAUGGAAUUCCUGGUGUAGCGGUGGAAUGCGCAGAUAUCAGGAGGAACACCGAUGGCGAAGGCAGUUCUCUGGGCCGUAACUGACGCUGAGGAGCGAAAGCGUGGGGAGCGAACAGGAUUAGAUACCCUGGUAGUCCACGCCGUAAACGUUGGGCGCUAGAUGUGGGGACCUUUCCACGGUUUCCGUGUCGCAGCUAACGCAUUAAGCGCCCCGCCUGGGGAGUACGGCCGCAAGGCUAAAACUCAAAGGAAUUGACGGGGGCCCGCACAAGCGGCGGAGCAUGCGGAUUAAUUCGAUGCAACGCGAAGAACCUUACCAAGGCUUGACAUAUACGAGAACGGGCCAGAAAUGGUCAACUC
rnacentral:rRNA from 1 species